rnacentral:sRNA from 1 species
UCCAUGCUGCCUUUUAUAAUUUCUCUCCGCUUCCUGUUUUCUAGUGCCGGCCUGAUUGGCUUCCUCUUCAUGCUGAGGGCUCUGGUAGCUGCAAACUUCAAUACCAUCUACAUUUACACAGCUGAGGUCUACCCCACCACGAUGCGCGCUUUGGGGAUGGGAACCAGCGGCUCCCUGUGUCGCAUUGGUGCAAUGGUGGCGCCAUUUAUAUCCCAGGUUCUUAUGAGUGCAUCAAUACUGGGGGCCCUGUGUCUCUUCUCAUCUGUCUGUGUUGUAUGCGCCAUUUCUGCAUUUACUCUCCCCAUUGAAACCAAAGGACGGGCCCUCCAGCAAAUUAAAUGAAGACCUGCAAAGCUAUGUCUACUAGAGGAGAAAAAUGAAUUCUAUCUUCAGAACUGUGGUGCAUUUUUUUAAAACUUGGUUUUAUUUCUGUAUGCUACUCGGUAAUUAGUAAAGUGAUUUUUUUUUUAAAGGCCUAUAUGGGAAUGGGGUAGGUAACUGUAUACUGAUCUCUUCCUUGAGGGACAAUAUAUAAAGUACUUUUAUAAAAUAUAAUUUAAACUUUCAAAGGGGUGUUAGAGGGAGAUGCUGGGGGGAAGAUGGCUUUUCUUCCUUGAAAUCAAGUCUGUAAACCUCUAUAUGAAUAAAUACUAAAUUUUAAACU